rnacentral:sRNA from 1 species
AUAGUAUUAGGCGUGACUUGUUUAUUGUUUGAUCCUUUCUACUCUUGAGUCACUGUUCUUCUUCGGACAAAGGUAUGUGACUAGGUUAAUUUUAUGGGCCAACAAAAAAGUUUACUAGCGGAUUUGCCCCGCGUAGUCUGAGUCUAUUUCUCCCCCUCCGUGCACACGCAUAUAAAUAAAGCCCUGGUUCCAGUUGUUUCUGGGCAUUUUCUUUUCGUUCUCUUCCUCCAGCGACCCCCAAGAAAACCUUUUAUGGAAAUUCGAUCAUCUACUUAAUACUAUACCAAACGCCAACCAGAGCUCUAUCAAUUACCCCGCAUUAAUUUCAUCAUGGGUGAAUGUGGCUGCGCUUGUGGCUCUUCCUGCCAGUGUCCCUCUGGGCAAUGCAGUUGCAAAUAAACACCCCCUUGUAAUGCCCAGCCAGGCAUAUCUUCCUCCUUCGUUCGAUUCCAGAUUCCCUGAUUGAUCGAGGGAGCAGGUUGUUAUUAUUCGACUCUCAAAUGACGUGGGAAGUAGCGUUUUCCUGUUACUAGGCCUCUGUGAACGGUAUACGUCAAUAAUCGUCAUUUAUUUUUCUGCUAUGGAAGGGGUGAUUGGUAUCUGCGGACAAUAUGGCUGGUGUUUUUAUAGGGAGGUUAUUUACCGUAGUUCCGUAAAGAAGAGACUCACUUGAAACUUCUGUUUGUUAUUCUGUAUGCGUUAUAAGUCUGCCCGCCUGCAAAUUUUGUGGUGCUGAGGCCCUCACCUUGCUCACCCACUCUCGCCUCUUUUUAAACAUCAAGGGAACCUUCAGUCACUGUCCACUCGUUAAGGCUGAAGAUGAAAUGAUACCUGGUAUUAGAUUUAAUCCUUGGUCUACUAGCUGUUCAAGCUUCUCCUUAUGUUCUCAACGUUUCUAGGCGUUCAUUUUUCGCUAGUAGACGUUUGAAUCAAGUAUCUAAGGGUGUCAACGAAGGUCUCCUUGAUUUUGACCAACAACUGAUGUUCGGACGGCCGCGCCAUUUUGGAAAGCCCUAUUUGUACUUCCAUGCGAAAGUGUUAUAUCUCGAGAGCAUUGUGUCGUCCCAGGCUGUACUACCCAUGAAACUAAUGUACUUCAUUCCCAUGUUCAUGCAUCUUCUUGUAGGAUGAGGCUUUUAAUAAAAAACGUUGUUUCCCCCAU